UGGCGGCGUGCCUAAUACAUGCAAGUCGAACGGUCUUUCUAUGGAAGCUUGCUUCCACUGAGAAGAUAGUGGCGAACGGGUGAGUAACACGUGGGUAACCUGCCCAUAAGAGGGGGAUAACAUCCGGAAACGGGUGCUAAUACCGCAUAGUUUUCUUGAUCGCAUGAUCGGGAAGGGAAAGACGGCCUUUGUGCUGUCGCUUAUGGAUGGACCCGCGGCGUAUUAGUUAGUUGGUGAGGUAACGGCUCACCAAGACGAUGAUACGUAGCCGACCUGAGAGGGUGAUCGGCCACAUUGGGACUGAGACACGGCCUAAACUCCUACGGGAGGCAGCAGUAGGGAAUCUUCCGCAAUGGACGAAAGUCUGACGGAGCAACGCCGCGUGAGUGAAGAAGGUUUUUUCGGAUCGUAAAACUCUGUUGUCAGAGAAGAACAAGUUGGAGAGUAACUGCUCCAGCCUUGACGGUAUCUGACCAGAAAGCCACGGCUAACUACGUGCCAGCCGCAGC
rnacentral:rRNA from 1 species